rnacentral:tRNA from 1 species
ACCGUGAUAGCUCAGCUAGUAGAGUAUCUGCCCGGUAAGCGGAGGGUCGCCGGUUCGAUUCCGGCUUGCGGCG